rnacentral:rRNA from 1 species
UACGUAGGGUGCGAGCGUUAAUCGGAAUUACUGGGCGUAAAGCGUGCGCAGGCUGUUUUGUAAGUCAGAUGUGAAAUCCCCGAGCUCAACUUGGGAACUGCGUUUGAAACUACAAGACUAGAAUAUGCCAGAGGGGGGUAGAAUUCCACGUGUAGCAGUGAAAUGCGUAGAGAUGUGGAGGAAUACCAAUGGCGAAGGCAGCCCCCUGGGAUAAUAUUGACGCUCAUGCACGAAAGCGUGGGGAGCAAACAGG